UUACGGCCACAUCACGUUGAAACACCGACUCUCGUACCAUCACGGAAGUUAAGCAAUAUCGAGCCUGGUUAGUAUCUAGAUGAGUGACCACUUGGAAUUACCAGGUGUUGUAAG